GUGGAGCUGUGGUUAGUUCCUUUGUGUGGCUUAACUGUUGGCCCAGUUUUCC
ensembl:misc_RNA